rnacentral:rRNA from 1 species
UACGGGAGGUGCAAGCGUUAUUCGGAGUGAUUGGGCGUAAAGCGCACGUAGGCGGACUUGUAAGUCGGAUGUGAAAUCCCUAGGCUUAACCUGGGAACUGCAUCCGAAACUAUAAGUCUUGAAUAUCUCAGAGGUUGGUAGAAUUCUUGGUGUAGGAGUGAAAUCCGUAGAUUUCAAGAGGAAUACCGGAGGCGAAGGCGGCCAACUGGGAGAAUAUUGACGCUGAGGUACGAAAGCGUGGGGAGCAAACAGG